rnacentral:rRNA from 1 species
GCUUAACACAUGCAAGUCGAGGGGCAGCAUGAGAUUAGCUUGCUAAUCUUGAUGGCGACCGGCGCACGGGUGCGUAACACGUAUCCAAUCUACCCAUGGCUCAGGGAUAGCCUUUCGAAAGAAAGAUUAAUACCUGAUGGUUUCACCGGCCCGCAUGGGCAGGUGAAUAAAGAUUUAUCGGCGAUGGAUGAGGAUGCGUCCGAUUAGCUUGUUGGCGGGGUAACGGCCCACCAAGGCGACGAUCGGUAGGGGCUCUGAGAGGAGGAUCCCCCACAUUGGAACUGAGACACGGUCCAAACUCCUACGGGAGGCAGCAGUGAGGAAUAUUGGUCAAUGGGCGAGAGCCUGAACCAGCCAAGUAGCGUGAGGGAUGACUGCCCUAUGGGUUGUAAACCUCUUUUGUUUGGGAAUAAAGUGCGGGACGUGUCCUGCAUUGCAUGUACCUUACGAAUAAGCAUCGGCUAAUUCCGUGCCAGCAGCCGCGGUAAUACGGAAGAUGCGAGCGUUAUCCGGAUUUAUUGGGUUUAAAGGGAGCG